rnacentral:rRNA from 1 species
AUUGAACGCUGGCGGCAGGCCUAACACAUGCAAGUCGAACGGCAGCACAGUGAGAGCUCGCUUUUACGGGUGGCGACGGGCGGGUGGGUGAGGAAUACAUCGCAAUCUUCUUUUUCUGGGGUGAUUACGUAGGGACACAUACGCUAAUAGCGCAUAUGUUGAACGGGUUGAAUCAGUGGAGCUUCGGGGCUUUGCUGAGUCUAAUAGACGAUGCCGGAUUAGCUAGUUGGGGGGGUAACGGCACACCAAGGCGACGAUCCGUAGCUGGUCUGAGAGGAUGAUCAGCCACACUGGAACUGAGACACGGUCCAGACUCCUACGGGAGGCAGCAGUGGGGAAUAUUGGACAAUGGGCGAAAGCCUGAUCCAGCAAUGCCGCGUGGGUGAAGAAGGCCUUCGGGUUGUAAAGCCCUUUUAUUAGGGAAGAAAAGCAGUAGGUUAAUACCCCGCUGUUCUGACGGUACCCAAAGAAUAAGCACCGGCUAACUUCGUG